GCGAGAAACCUUCACACUGUGCGAAAGCGCGAUGAGGGAAUCCCAAGUGCUUGCACGUAAGUGUAAGCUGUUUCUAUGUCUAAAAAGCAUAGAGAGUAAGAGCUGGGUAAGACGGGUGCCAGCCGCCGCGGUAAUACCUGCAGCUCAAGUGGUGACCACUAUUAUUGGGCCUAAAACGUCCGUAGCCGGUUUAGUAAAUGCCUGGGUAAAUCGAGCCGCUUAACGGUUCGACUUCCGGGUAGACUGCUAAACUUGGGACCGGGAGAGGCUAGAGGUACUCCUGGGGUAGAG
rnacentral:rRNA from 1 species